rnacentral:rRNA from 1 species
UACGUAGGGGGCGAGCGUUGUCCGGAAUCAUUGGGCGUAAAGCGCGUGUAGGCGGUUCAGUAAGGCUGCUGGGAAAGUCCAGGGCUCAACCCUGGAAUGCCGGUGGAUACUGUCGGGCUAGAGUCCGGAAGGGGCGAGUGGAAUUCCUGGUGUAGCGGUGAAAUGCGCAGAUAUCAGGAGGAACACCAAUGGCGAAGGCAGCUCGCUGGGACGUGACUGACGCUGAGACGCGAAAGCGUGGGGAGCAAACAGG